ensembl:lncRNA
AAACAACAGAAAUUAAACAGCAAAAAACAAAAAACGCCGCUGAGGUGUAAAAACAAGCGUUUUAAUUAUUAAAACCCUCCGCGGCGGUUUUAUCUCGGCUGUUUUUCCCGGUUUGACCCGGGUGACCCACAUCCUGCUGUCGGCCGGGAGGAGGCAGCGGCGGCUCCUCGGCAGCACGAGACUCUGUUUGUAAACAAAUCCGUGCCGCCGAGCACGAGGCGGCGCGCACGCGUACAGAGGCAGCGGCGCCUGCGCAGUGCGAGCGGCUGUGAGCGUAAGAAAAAUAGCAACGGUCGUUUUGUAUUUUUUUUCAUUUUUAUUUUUUUUUAAAUCGUGAAGCCGAAAAGAAAACAAACAAAACAACAAAACGUCGAUGGUUUUAACGUAAAUUCGCCGCGAAAAAUUGUAAUUCUGCUAAAAAAUCGGUUAAAAAUCUGUAUUUUUAAGUGAAAUUUAACCCCCCCGGAGGCUAACUGUUUUCGACGGCUACUUUCUACGGACACCGUCUCCUUCCUGUCUGUCUGCAGGUGUGGAGCUCACGGUAACAGGUGGACAUCAGACAGGAUGAAAGGUGCCAGAGACGAGCCGUGGAUGCGACCGGCGGAGCCCCACAGCAGAGAAGUCUCUCCCCUAGGAGGUAGGAGAUGUGAUGAGACUCUGAUGGAAGACGAAGCCUUCGGUCGGGUCAGAGGAAUCCCCAUCAUGCUGUUUGUCCUGCGGUAACCAAAGCAGAAGGCCUCAGCAUUUGUCCCCACAGCUGAAAGCUGAGCCACUGUUUGGGUUGCUACAAUGACAUCAUCGUUUUCACGCUCACCCCCUCCACGUUGCAUCUCGCUGCCACCUCCUCCUCCAUCCUCCAUCUCCAUCCUCCUCCUCUCUACAUCCAGGGUAGGUUCAGACCGGGACACGAGAUACAAACAAGAGAUCUGCAAAAACAAAUAACAAUCUUGGAAAUAAUGAGCUGUACAUUAUAAAUAGUUACACAUGAACGUGAGUGUCAGUUCAGUCUUUGGUCUCUACCAGCUCCAGGGGGAAUAGUCUGACUCUGGAUCAGAUAAAUGCUGCACUGUGUUCAGCUUGUCUCUAACUGUGUCUGUCUGCUGUGAUAAUGAGCAA